GAUGAACGCUGGCGGCGUGCCUAAUACAUGCAAGUCGAGCGAACGGACGAGAAGCUUUCUCCUCUGAUGUUAGCGGCGGACGGGUGAGUAACACGUGGAUAACCUACCUAUAAGACUGGGAUAACUUCGGGAAACCGGAGCUAAUACCGGAUAAUAUUUUGAACCGCAUUGUUCAAAAGUGAAAGACGGUCUUGCUGUCACUUAUAGAUGGAUCCGCGCUGCAUUAGCUAGUUGGUAAGGUAACGGCUUACCAAGGCAACGAUGCAUAGCCGACCUGAGAGGGUGAUCGGCCAGCUUGGAACUGAGACACGGCCCAGACUCCGACGGGAGGAAGCAGUAGGGAAUCUUCCGCAAUGGGCGAAAGCCUGACGGAGCAACGCCGCGUGAGUGAUGAAGGUCUUCGGAUCGUAAAACUCUGUUAUUAGGAAAGAACAUAUGUGUAAGUAACUGUGCACAUCUUGACGGUACCUAAUGAGAAAGCCCCGGCUAACUACGUG
rnacentral:rRNA from 1 species